GACGAACGCUGGCGGCGUGCCUAAUACAUGCGAGUUGAGCGAUGAAGAUUGGUGCUUGCACCAAUUUGAAGAGCAGCGAACGGGUGAGUAACGCGUGGGGAAUCUGCCUUUGAGCGGGGGACAACAUUUGGAAACGAAUGCUAAUACCGCAUAACAACUUUAAACAUAAGUUUUAAGUUUGAAAGAUGCAAUUGCAUCACUCAAAGAUGAUCCCGCGUUGUAUUAGCUAGUUGGUGAGGUAAAGGCUCACCAAGGCGAUGAUACAUAGCCGACCUGAGAGGGUGAUCGGCCACAUUGGGACUGAGACACGGCCCAAACGCCUACGGGAGGCAGCAGUAGGGAAUCUUCGGCAAUGGACGAAAGUCUGACCGAGCAACGCCGCGUGAGUGAAGAAGGUUUUCGGAUCGUAAAACUCUGUUGGUAGAGAAGAACGUUGGUGAGAGUGGAAAGCUCAUCAAGUGACGGUAACUACCCAGAAAGGGACGGCUAACUACGUG
rnacentral:rRNA from 1 species